rnacentral:rRNA from 1 species
AUACGUAGGGGGCGAGCGUUGUCCGGAAUGAUUGGGCGUAAAGGGCGCGUAGGCGGCGCGGUAAGUCUGGAGUGAAAGUCCUGCUUUCAAGGGGGGAAUUGCUUUGGAUACUGCCGCGCUUGAGUGCAGGAGAGGUUAUCGGAAUUCCCGGUGUAGCGGUGAAAUGCGUAGAGAUCGGGAGGAACACCAGUGGCGAAGGCGGGUAACUGGACUGCAACUGACGCUGAGGCGCGAAAGUGUGGGGAGCAAACAGGAUUAGAUACCCUGGUAGUCCACACUGUAAACGAUGAAUGCUAGGUGUAAGAGGUAUCGACCCCUUUUGUGCCGGAGUCAACACAAUAAGCAUUCCGCCUGGGGAGUACGGCCGCAAGGUUGAAACUCAAAGGAAUUGACGGGG